GACGAACGCUGGCGGCGUGCUUAAUACAUGCAAGUCGAACGCAGUGGGGACGGGUGAGUAACACGUGGGUAACCUCCCAUCAGAGGGGAUAACACUUGGAAACUGGUGCUAAACCGAUACUGAUGGAUGGUCCCGCGGGUCAUUAGCUAGCUGGUGAGGUAACGGCCCACCAAGGCCACGAUGCAUAGCCGGCUGGAGAGGGUGAGCGGCCAAACUGGGACUGAGACACGGCCCAGACUCAGACGGGAGGCAGCAGUAGGGAAUCUUCGGCAAUGGACGAAAGUCUGACCGAGCAACGCCGCGUGAAUGAAGAAGGAUUUCGGAUCGUAAAACACUGUUGUUAGAGAAGCGGUAUCUAAAGAGAAAGCCACGGCUAACUACGUGCCAGCCGCCGCGGUAAUAC
rnacentral:rRNA from 1 species